UGCUCGCGCGCGGGAACUGGGCGCGCGCUCUCAGAUACACGCUGCUCUUGAAAGAAUUUUCUCUGCGCUCGCUCAGAGAAUAUGCCUGCACUUAAAACGUGUUCAUUGCAAUCGCGAAUCUCUCCUCUUCGCUUAAAGUAAGCGUGUUUGUGCUUAGACUGUGUCCCGUGCGUUCGCGCAUGCCCAAGUACUCUUCUCUUCGAUUUCUUUCUCUUUGCUCUUGGCAUAAACGCUGUCAAAACGGCAACAACCAAUCAGAAAAGGCUUCAACGACUGACCAAUGAAAACGCGACAUCGUACAUGGAAUCUUAUUGGUUGAUAUUGAACCGCACAUGUUCAUGUGUUCAAUCAAGACGAUUCAAUUCAAUCAAGACGAGCCGAGAUGGAUCCGCAGAAUCGACGAUCUCAGAUCCAGACAGUUGGGAGAGCCGUUCAAAAGAGAAAGUGUGUGUUAAACUUGGCAGAAUAUAAAGGAGGGGAAUUAAGAGGCAGCUGCCCAUAUGGAUAUGUAAUCCAUGUGAAUGUCGACAAAAAAAAGGAAGAAAAACAAUCUUGGUCAUGGCAGCCUUGGACCACUAUACCUAAUAUCUUGAAUUCUCACAUAUCACUUCAAUUAAAGAGAGCAAUGAGAGGGCUGGACUGGUAAUCUGGCAUACCGGCAUUUUCCUUGUGGGCCGGCGCACUUUGGGGCUGAUCAGGGACUGGCCUUCGGGAAAUCCGAGUGGCCUGGGGGGUCGGCUGCAAAACGGGACGAAUGGGCCGCGAUAAGCUCAAAUGAGUCGCUGCAUUAUGCAGAAUGGACCACAAAACGGUGGUGCAAUGUGCAGAAAAGGACA